rnacentral:misc_RNA from 1 species
AAGGCGUGAUGAGGAAGUGCGUCCAGUCUUGCUUGGAUGAGGACUUGUGUUUUUGCUUAUCCUCCAAGAACUUCCUGAACAGCAUGUUCCGAUCGGCCUCCUUACGGACCAUAUACGUUGCACGGGGGUAUCCUGUCGCGUACUCGAUGUACUCCGCCUUGGCCUUGCGGAUCCAUUCACGGAACAAGUCGCUGAAACCUACAAUCCAUGGGCCCUGCUCUUGUUGGCGGUAUUUGAGCUGGCUUAGGAGGUGAU